rnacentral:rRNA from 1 species
AUACGGAGGAUCCGAGCGUUAUCCGGAUUUAUUGGGUUUAAAGGGUGCGUAGGCGGAAAAAUAAGUCAGUUGUGAAAGUUUGCGGCUCAACCGUAAAAUUGCAGUUGAUACUGUUUUUCUUGAGUGUACAUAAGGUAGGCGGAAUUCGUGGUGUAGCGGUGAAAUGCGUAGAUAUUAGGAGGAACACCAGUAGCGAAGGCGGCUUUCUGGACUGUAACUGACACUGAGGCACGAAAGCGUGGGGAGC